GGGGAGCAGCCAAUUUCCAGUUUCCUGCACCAUGUUGUGGGACUGUCCUCAGGAGGAAUAAUAUUGUCCACAAGUUUUAUACCUUUUUAUCUGUAAGAUCCUAAUUGCUUUAUUUUGAAAUAUAGCUACAGACUAUGAACUCUCCAUGGUUGCUGGGAGGAGAGGCUGAUUUUCCCCAGAUGAAUAGAUGAACUGGACUUGCCAUCUGUCAGGUGCAGAGAUCUCCUUGUUAACGUGGGUGAUCAGGAUGUUAAGCUUCCUUUCUAGGUACUACAGACCAAGA
rnacentral:lncRNA from 1 species